AAUUCCCACUCAUCCCAUGCGUGGCAGGAGCGGGGGACCCAGGAAGUACGCCGGUCCCGCGAACAGGACGGCUCGGGGUGAAGCCGCGUGAGAACGCGGCCGGGCAUCUCCAGUCCGAACCCGACAGCUCACCUCGCAGGCGCCGGAGAGGAAUU
rnacentral:sRNA from 2 species